GACGAACGCCGGCGGCGUGCUUAACACAUGCAAGUCGAACGGUGAACCUCUUCGGAGGGGAUCAGUGGCGAACGGGUGAGUAACACGUGGGCAACCUGCCCCCGGCUCUGGGAUAACUCCAAGAAAUUGGGGCUAAUACCGGAUGUUCACCGCUUCCCGCAUGGGUGGUGGUGGAAAGGGUUUCCGGCUGGGGAUGGGCCCGCGGCCUAUCAGCUUGUUGGUGGGGUAGUGGCCUACCAAGGCGACGACGGGUAGCCGGCCUGAGAGGGUGACCGGCCACACUGGGACUGAGACACGGCCCAGACUCCUACGGGAGGCAGCAGUGGGGAAUAUUGCGCAAUGGGCGGAAGCCUGACGCAGCGACGCCGCGUGGGGGAUGACGGCCUUCGGGUUGUAAACCUCUUUCAGCAGGGACGAAGCGCAAGUGACGGUACCUGCAGAAGAAGCACCGGCCAACUACGUG
rnacentral:rRNA from 1 species